rnacentral:rRNA from 1 species
UACGUAGGGUGCAAGCGUUAAUCGGAAUUACUGGGCGUAAAGCGUGCGCAGGCGGCUAUGCAAGACAGAUGUGAAAUCCCCGGGCUCAACCUGGGAACUGCAUUUGUGACUGCAUGGCUAGAGUACGGUAGAGGGGGAUGGAAUUCCGCGUGUAGCAGUGAAAUGCGUAGAUAUGCGGAGGAACACCGAUGGCGGAAGGCAAUCCCCUGGACCUGUGACUGACGCUCAUGCACGAAAGCGUGG